AACGAACGCUGGCGGCAUGCCUAACACAUGCAAGUCGAACGAGACCUUCGGGUCUAGUGGCCCCCGGGUGCGUAACGCGUGGGAACCUGCCCUUAGGUUCGGAAUAACUCUCCGAAAGGGGUGCUAAUACCGGAUAAUGUCUUCGGACCAAAGAUUUAUCGCCUUUGGUUGGGCCCGCGUUGGAUUAGCUUGUUAGUAGGGUAAAAGCCUACCAAGGCGACGAUCCAUAGCUGGUCUGUGAGGAUGAUCAGCCACACUGGGACUGAGACACGGCCCAGACUCCUACGGGAGGCAGCAGUGGGGAAUAUUGGACAAUGGGCGAAAGCCUGAUCCAGCAAUGCCGCGUGAGUGAUGAAGGCCUUAGGGUUGUAAAGCUCUUUUACCCGGGAUGAUAAUGACAGUACCGGGAGAAUAAGCUCCGGCUAACUCCGUG
rnacentral:rRNA from 1 species